CAUCCUGUAUUAGUACCACUCAUCUGCCAUUAUUCGGGUGUGUGGCUAUGCUAACAGGAGAGAGUAACUGACUGUCAGAGUCUGAAGGGGCCGAGCAGUCUCCAGUCUGCUGCCUCUAAUGAAACGACGGUACACUCAGUG